UACGUAGGGUGCAAGCGUUGUCCGGAAUUAUUGGGCGUAAAGCGUGCGCAGGCGGUUGUGCAAGACAGAUGUGAAAGCCCCGGGCUCAACCCGGGAAGUGCACUCGAUACUGCCAAGCUAGAGUAUCGGAGAGGUUGGUGGAAUUCCCGGUGUAGAGGUGAAAUUCGUAGAUAUCGGGAGGAACACCGGUGGCGAAGGCGGCGAUCUGGGUCGAUACUGACGCUGAGGUGCGAAAGCGUGGGGAGCAAACAGG
rnacentral:rRNA from 1 species